UCCACGCUGUAAACGAUGGAUACUAGGUUUUGGGGGUCUCAACCCCUUCAGAGCCGUAGCUAACGCGUUAAGUAUCCCGCCUGGGGAGUACGAUCGCAAGGUUGAAACUCAAAGGAAUUGACGGGUUCCCGCACAAGCGGUGGAGCAUGUGCUUUAAUUCGAGGCAACGCGAAGAACCUUACCUGGGCUUGACAUGGGAGCUCUCUCUUCGGAGGGGGUUAGCUAUGUGAAAG
rnacentral:rRNA from 1 species